UACGGAGGGGGCUAGCGUUGUUCGGAAUUACUGGGCGUAAAGCGCACGUAGGCGGCUUUGUAAGUUAGAGGUGAAAGCCCGGGGCUCAACUCCGGAACUGCCUUUAAGACUGCAUCGCUUGAAUCAUGGAGAGGUCAGUGGAAUUCCGAGUGUAGAGGUGAAAUUCGUAGAUAUUCGGAAGAACACCAGUGGCGAAGGCGACAUACUGGCUCAUUACUGACGCUGAGGCUCGAAAGCGUGGGGAGCAAACAGG
rnacentral:rRNA from 1 species